AUGCUCGACUUUGACUCCGAAGACAUCGACGGUAUGGACACUGAUGCAGGAGACGAUCAAGAACCAGCACCUAUAGGGCACUGGAAAGCCACCUCGUCGUAUGAUAUAUACAUGGUGGACACCCCAAAAGAAGGCAAUGGCGAUGGAACAGCGGAGGAUGACCCCUCCAAGAAGCAGCCUAAGCGCCGGCGUCAGCGGCGCCACUCUAAAUCCUGCCAAAGAAAAAACAGUGAUUCCGGCACGGGAGAUAAUAACACCCCGGACAGUGCCGAAGACAACCACCUCCAGCAAGAUUCAGCAUAG
rnacentral:rRNA from 1 species